UGCGGUGUUUCUUGUUUCUGUCCUUAUCAUGUUGUUUUGGUUACCCCGUGUUGCCUUCACUCAAUCUGUGUGAAUUUAUGUAAAAGAUUAUGAAAAAUGUUUGAUACAGCAAGGAACAAUGAAGGGACUUUUGUUUUUU
rnacentral:ribozyme from 12 species